rnacentral:rRNA from 1 species
CCUACGGGUGGCAGCAGUGAGGAAUAUUGGUCAAUGGACGAGAGUCUGAACCAGCCAAGUAGCGUGAAGGAUGACUGCCCUAUGGGUUGUAAACUUCUUUUAUAAAGGAAUAAAACGAGGCACGUGUGCCUUUUUGCAGGUACUUUAUGAAUAAGGAUCGGCUAACUCCGGGCCAGCAGCCGCGGUUAUUCGGAGGGUCCGAGCGUUAACCGGAUUGAGUGGGUUGAAAGGGAGCGUAGAUGGGUAGUUAAGUCAGUUGUGAAAGUUUGCGGCUCAACCGUAAAAUUGCAAUUGAUACUGGCAGGCUUGAGUACGGGUGAGGUAGGCGGAAUUCGUGGUGUAGCGGUGAAAUGCGGAGAUAUCACGAAGAACCCCGAUUGCGAAGGCAGCUUACUAGACUGUGACUGACAUUGAUGCUCGAAAGUGUGGGUAUCAAACAGGAUUAGAUACCCGGGUAGUC